UUUUGUGUGUAGAACUAGUCACGUCAUCGCAAACCGCAGAAAAGCUCUGGAAUCUUUGGGAAAAACCGCGAAACCAUCACUUGGAAUUCUGACUCCGUAGUGAGUAGUUGACAGAAAAGCUCCGUGAAUUGUCAGAAGUAUUUAGGUUUAUUUACGCAAGGCUUUAUCCUGUGUUUUCCCCCCGUCUUUGCCUCACUUUUUGCCUUGACUUCACUUGAGUUGACUUUACUUGACUUGAGAGGGAAAACGAGGUAGCUCCUAAGCUCUCCACAACCGUUGCUAAGCGGGAGCUAACGUUAGCUUAUAGCUAGCUAGCUUCUAGGCGGGAGAAGAUCCCCCCCCCCCCCCCCACCUUUGCCCUCUGGACUCGCGGAUCAUCUGUGGACUUCCAGAAAAUAAUGUUUUUAGUCAGGAUCAAUCCUGACUCAUCCAAGUGCACUGCCAAGGAGCAGAUCAGCAAGAUGACUGGGAGGGUGGUGAAGAGGAAAACUACAUACAUGAACCCCAGUGUCCUCUCAUUUAUUAGGGAUUUCACAGAGUUCUACUUGCUUGACUAGAUGAAGGGUUCCAACUGAUUCUGGUCAGGGCAUGCAAGGUUUCAUAAGGUUUCAUGUAAAUUUUCUAUUUGUUAUUUUAUUUGAAUGUUCUAAAUGUUAUAUUUUACUGUUCAAUGUUUUAUUAUGUUGUACCUGGUGAGGACCACCCAUCUAAGCACCAACCCACUGUUCCACUGUUGAGGUUGAGAACUGUACUGACAACUGUAUUAGGCCUAUAUAUUAUUAUAUUAUAUUAUAUUAUACACAUAUUAUAUUAUACAUAUAUUAUAUAUUAUAUUAUACACAUAUAUUAUAUUAUACACUAUGUAUUAUUAUAUUAGUCUAUAUUAUUCAAUAUAAUAUACAUAUACUAUUAUAUCAUACCUAUAAUAGGCCAAUACAUUG